GUUUGCACUCAUCGGGGAAGGGUGAGAACCUUCGACUAAGGUUCUGAUUCGAGCGAAAGCGAGAGAACGUUGCCACAGGCAACGGCCCGAAGGGUGAGGAGCGAAGCGACGAAUAAUCCUUCCCCACCACCA
rnacentral:sRNA from 1 species